GGGCUUGUGGUUUAGGGGUAUAAUGUAAGGAAAAAUGUUGUAAUAUGAUUCUGGCCUCGCUAAUAUCUAAUAGGUUCGCUUCGCAUUGAUUUGGGAUUGCGAAAGGUCCUGGGUUCGAUUCCCAGCAAGUCCA